rnacentral:ribozyme from 2 species
ACUCUAAUGCAGGCGGCAGGGAUGCCAGGCGGUCACAACCCCGUAGUAAUGCAGAGUGGAGU